UGUUAAAAAUUUCAUCUAUUUAUACCGUUAAAACUGACAUGACUAGCGAAAUAACCAAACAGUUACACGUGACAUACUAUUUAUACCUCAUACUAACGUAUAGAAUCGAUUUUUAACAAUAGAAUUGAUGAAUUUUUUAAUA
rnacentral:pre_miRNA from 1 species